rfam:Treponema sp. OMZ 838, complete genome.
GGGCAAUUAGCUCAGUUGGUUAGAGUACAAGCAUGACACGCUUGGGGUCGCUGGUUCGAUUCCAGCAUUGCCCA